GACGAACGCUGGCGGCGUGCUUAACACAUGCAAGUCGAACGGAAAGUCCCUGCUUUUGUGGGGUGCUCAAGUGGCGAACGGGGGAGUAAAACGUUAGUAACCUGCCCUUGACUUUGGGAUAACUUCAGGAAACUGGGGCUAAUACAGGAGAGAAUCUCCUGCUGCAGUGUGGGGGUUGGAAAGUUUGGGUGGUUGGGGAUGGACUCGGGGGUUGUCGGCUGGUUGGGGGGGGAGUUGGUUACCAAGGGUUUGAAGGGUAGCCGGCCUGAGCGGGUGACCGGCCACAUUGCUACUGCGAUACGGACCAGACUCCUACGGGCGGCAGUAGUGGGGAAUAUUGCACAAUGGGGGGAAGCCUGAUGCAGCAACGCCCCGUGCGGGAUGAUGGCUUUCUGGUUGUAAACCGCGUUCGCAUGUGACGAAGCGUGAGUGACGGUAAUGGGUAAAGAAGCAACGGCUAACUACGUG
rnacentral:rRNA from 1 species